rnacentral:rRNA from 1 species
GUGUCAGCCGCCGCGGUAAUACGGAGGGGGCUAGCGUUGUUCGGAAUUACUGGGCGUAAAGGGUGCGUAGGCGGCUAUCCAAGUCAGACGUGAAAGGCCUGGGCUCAACCCGGGAACUGCGUUUGAGACUGGGUGGCUGGAGUCCGGGAGAGGUGAGCGGAAUUCCCAGUGUAGAGGUGAAAUUCGUAGAUAUUGGGAAGAACACCGGUGGCGAAGGCGGCUCACUGGACCGGUACUGACGCUGAGGCACGAAAGCGUGGGGAGCAAACAGGAUUAGAAACCCCCGUAGUCC